rnacentral:rRNA from 1 species
UACGAAGGGGGCUAGCGUUGCUCGGAAUUACUGGGCGUAAAGCGCACGUAGGCGGCUUUCUAAGUCGGGGGUGAAAUCCCAGAGCUCAACUUUGGAACUGCCUUUGAAACUCCCAGUCUUGAGGUCGAGAGAGGUGAGUGGAAUUCCGAGUGUAGAGGUGAAAUUCGUAGAUAUUCGGAGGAACACCAGUGGCGAAGGCGGCUCACUGGCUCGAUACUGACGCUGAGGUGCGAAAGCGUGGGGAGCAAACAGG